rnacentral:ncRNA from 2 species
CUCUUAUUCAGAGUGAUGGAGAUACAUAGGAUCUGUGAAGUCACGGCAACCCCGUCAAGCGGAAGGUGCCUACCUGAGCGAGCAAUCGAACAAUAAGGG